rnacentral:misc_RNA from 1 species
GGAAUGAUAAGAGAGAGAACCAAUACAAGAGAGCCAACUCACCCUCGAAAAUCUCUCUCUUAUCAUUCCCAUCCUAAAAAAUGCCACUAGUCAAAUAUAUCAUCUUUUGAUUCUUUAUCCUCCACUCCACAAAUCCCGCCAUCUAUCUCCUCCAAAAUUUUCUCUUGAUCCACCACCACAAUCACCGCCAAUGGCAACCUCCGCCUUGUUCUUCACACCCACAAUCCAAAAGCAUCGCCACAGCCUCACUCCAUUCCAAGGCCUUAGACCCCUCAUCAAAGCCAAAACUUCCCUAACCAAGAUCACCACCACCAACCCAAGAAAGAGCUUCGCACUGAAAGCAGAGCUUAGCGCACCCCUGGUGAUCAGCCUAAGCACUGGGCUGUCUCUCUUUCUCGGAAGGUUUGUGUUCUUCAACUUCCAGAGGGAGAACGUGGCAAAACAAGUGCCGGAGCAGAACGGAGUGACCCAUUUUGAGGCCGGAGAUGUUCGUGCUAAGGAAUAUGUGAGCCUCCUGAAAUCAAACGAUCCGGUUGGGUUCAAUAUCGUUGAUGUUCUUGCCUGGGGCUCCAUUGGCCACAUCGUUGCUUACUAUAUCUUGGCCACCUCCAGCAAUGGCUAUGACCCCAAGUUCUUCUAGUUUCAUUUUUAAAUUCUCUGUAACUUUGUCUAGUUUCUAGCUUCUCAUUAUUAGUUGGGAGGUUUCUUUUUAUUUUUCUUGUUUUUGGUUUUAUGAAAAAAUUUAAGGUUCGGACCGAAUCGAUCACGUGUUGUUGGAUUGGAUGUAAUUAUAUAAUCUUGCACAUUCCUUGAAAA